AUUGAACGCUGGCGGCAGGCCUAACACAUGCAAGUCGAACGAGUGGCGGACGGGUGAGUAAUGUCUGGGAAACUGCCCGAUGGAUGGGGAUAACUACUGGAAACGGUAGCUAAUACCGCAUACCAUCGGAUGUGCCCAGAUGGGAUUAGCUAUUAGGUGGGGUAACGGCUCACCUAGGCGACGAUCCCUAGCUGGUCUGAGAGGAUGACCAGCCACACUGGGACGGAGACACGGCCCAGACUCCGACGGGAGGCAGCAGUGGGGAAUAUUGCACAAUGGGCGCAAGCCUGAUGCAGCCAUGCCGAGUGUAUGAAGAAGGCCUUCGGGUUGUAAAGUACUUUCAGCGAGGAGGCGUUACUCGCAGAAGAAGCACCGGCUAACUCCGUGCCAGCAGCCGCGGUAAUUC
rnacentral:rRNA from 1 species